rnacentral:tRNA from 1 species
CGCCGUAGGGGGGCGGCUGGUCGCCGCCCGGCGGCUUCCCGCCGCCGCCCGGUGGCGGGGGCUGCUGGGCACCGCCGUACGGGGUGUCGUACGGCGA